CAAUAGCGUAUAUUUAAGUUGCUGCAGUUAAAAAGCUCGUAGUUGGAUUUCGGGUGGGAAUGGCCGGUCCGCCGUUUCGGUGUGCACUUGCUACGCCCACCUUGCUGCCGGGGACGUGCUCUUGAGUUCACGCUCGGGACACGGAGUCGGCGAGGUUACUUUGAGUAAAUUAGAGUGUUCAAAGCAGGCCUACGCUCUGAAUACAUUAGCAUGGAAUAACACGAUAGGACUCUGGCCUAUCUUGUUGGUCUGUAGGACCGGAGUAAUGAUUAAGAGGGACAGUUGGGGGCAUUCGUAUUUCAUUGUCAGAGGUGAAAUUCUUGGAUUUAUGAAAGACGAACUACUGCGAAAGCAUUUGCCAAGGAUGUUUUCAUUAA
rnacentral:rRNA from 1 species